AACAAGGCUGGCACCAGCACCUACCUGUGCCUGUACCUGUGGGGUCACCGCCCUGGAUCUGCAAAAAUAAAACCCAGUGAGGCCAUUGGCUCUGAUGAUGCUGAUCACCCCACACACCCUGCCGACUAACUGGACAGGCUUCCCACAGGCAUGUGCUGCAAUAAGGACAGGGACCUCCUCUCUGACCCCAGCUAGGUCUUCCUGGAUGAGCACUGAAGGGCCAGCUAUAAGAUCCCUGGCACAAGAUACACCUGAAGACCCUACCCUGGCCACACAUGGCCUGGAACGAGGACUUGCCCUGCACCCGAGAUACCUCCUCCAUUCAGGCCACACAAGAUCAGCACUAAUGAGCCUCCCAUCAGGGGCACCCCAGUUCUGAGAAGAAUGCAGGAGCCAAUGCAGAUGCGGAUGAGAAGAAAUCCCUAUGUGGGAGACUCCACCUCUGCCUUCCCCAUGGCUCAGGCUCUCCAGACUUCAGUCUACUUGGGAGAAAGACAGCACCUAUCGGCUAAAUGUGCUAAAGAAAUUCCAGCACCACAGCUGUAGCUACGGCAUAGGGCAGAGAAGCAUGCUCGUCCCCGGUAGGGCCCAGGAUAUUGGAACGGAGCAGCCAAGGCCCCAGAAAACCAAGGCCCCAAAGAGCCUCAAGAUGAGCUAAUAGGAAUAGAGAUGGGGAAGGCCACAUGAGAAGAAGCCACAGGAGAGAACACUCAGAAGUACAAUGGACUGUGUCAAGCACUUCACCCACCUGUGCCAGAUGUUGAAGGCUGGAAGGAGGCCAAGGCUGUGCCCCAACCCAGUGACAAGCAAGAUGGCACAGACUGCCUACCUGUUCAUCAAGCAGUGUGCCCUGCCUUAGGCCUCAAAAAUAAGGAAUGAGGCUUGCUGCCAGGUAGCACAGGAUGUGGACUGGGAAGCCAUUGGACCAAGCUUCAGUAACAACCACAGAGUCGUUUAACCCAGGCACUUCCUGUGAAGCUCUUUACCUGCAGGGUGAUGAUGUCUUGCCUGGAAAAGGGCUCAUCAGUCAACAGAUCCCGCAAGUUCUUGGCCUUGAUGUUUAGCUGCUCCACUGCCUAGAGCAGUACAGAGAUAUCACAGUUCCUCUGGGCCGGCACAGAGGCAUGUGACAUCUGGAAAAGCAAAAGCAAGUGUCAGAAAGGUACAAGAGAGGGAGGCUGAAGAUGAGUCUGUGAAGUAGAACACUGGGUAGCACUGUGCGGCCCAUGGUCAGCCUCCAACCACAAGAGAAGAAAGGAGGACUGGAGAGGUGGCUCAGUGGUUAAGAGCGCUGUCUGCUCUUCCAGAGGUCGUUUAGUUCAAUUCCCAGCGACUACAUGGAGGUUCACAACCAUCUGUAAUAAGAUCUGAUGUCCUCUUCUGCUGUGUCAGCAACAAGAUGCUCAUACAACAUUAAAUAAAUAUUUAAAAAAAAAAGAGAGAGAAGAAAGGAAAGGAAGUUGCUGAGAGUAAGAGCUCGGGGUCUCUGUGGGCCAGUCCUGGAGCUGUGUCCUAAAGGGAUCCUCACCUUCGCUGUUCUUUGCGAAGUUCAGCUUGAUCAAGGACUUCCCAUCAAGUUUCUGGAAGACAUAUAAUUAACAAUAAUUAAUAAAGGGUGAAGUAACACAGAGGCUACCAAGACAGGAGCAACAGGGACAGAACAGAAAGAUCUCUGCACAACUGACCCUCUGCAGCUUACACAGAAAUGGAGAUCUCUCUGGGAAGUCUCCAAGACACAGCCAGGACUCCUGAGGCUUCUAGGAUAUUAGUUCAGUGGUUGCACUGAUGUAUCUGUAAGCCCCAGGCUGUGAGCAGAUCCUCAGAUUUAUAAACACACAAAUAUCACUAUGUAAGGGGUAGUCACUGGGCUGAAUAAGGAGGGUGUGGAAUAAAGACUGCUGUGUAUUUCUACAAG
rnacentral:lncRNA from 1 species